rnacentral:rRNA from 1 species
ACCACAGGGAUUGCCCUAGUAACGGCGAGUGAAGCGGCAACAGCUCAAAUUUGAAAGCUGGCUCUCGGGCCCGCAUUGUAAUUUGCAGAGGAUGCUUCUGGCGACGCGCCUUCCGAGUUCCCUGGAACGGGACGCCAUAGAGGGUGAGAGCCCCGUCCGGUCGUGCGCCUAGCCUCUGUGAAGCUCCUUCGACGAGUCGAGUAGUUUGGGAAUGCUGCUCAAAAUGGGAGGUAUACGUCUUCUAAAGCUAAAUACCGGCCAGAGACCGAUAGCGCACAAGUAGAGUGAUCGAAAGAUGAAAAGCACUUUGAAAAGAGAGUUAAAAAGUACGUGAAAUUGUUGAAAGGGAAGCGCUCAUGACCAGACUUGGGCUGGCUCGAUCAUCCGGCGUUCUCGCCGGUGCACUCGGGCCGCUCAGGCCAGCAUCAGCUUCCGCCGGGGGAUAAAGGCGGUGGGAAUGUGGCUCCCUCGGGAGUGUUAUAGCCCGCCGUGCAAUACCCUGGUGGGGGGCUGAGGUUCGCGCGUAUGCACGGAUGCUGGCGUAAUGGUCAUCAGCGACCCGUCUUGAAACACGGACCAAGGAGUCGUCUUCGUAUGCGAGUGUUCGGGUGUCAAACCCCUACGCGGAAUGAAAGUGAACGCUGGUGAGAGCUUCGGCGCAUCACCGACCGAUCCUGAUGUUCUCGGAUGGAUUUGAGUAAGAGCAUACGGGGCCGGACCCGAAAGAAGGUGAACUAUGCCUGUAUAGGGUGAAGCCAGAGGAAACUCUGGUGGAGGCUCGCAGCGGUUCUGACGUGCAAAUCGAUCGUCAAAUAUGGGCAUGGGGGCGAAAGACUAAUCGAACCUUCUAGUAGCUGGUUUCCGCCGAAGUUUCCCCUC